rnacentral:rRNA from 1 species
UACGAAGGGGGCUAGCGUUGCUCGGAAUCACUGGGCGUAAAGCGCACGUAGGCGGAUUGUUAAGUCAGGGGUGAAAUCCUGGAGCUCAACUCCAGAACUGCCUUUGAUACUGGCGAGCUCGAGUCCGGGAGAGGUGAGUGGAACUGCGAGUGUAGAGGUGAAAUUCGUAGAUAUUCGGAAGAACACCAGUGGCGAAGGCGGCUCACUGGCCCGGUACUGACGCUGAGGUGCGAAAGCGUGGGGAGCAAACAGG